CUGGAACUCUUAAUGCAACCAAUCUUCCAACAGGACAGGAUAUAUGAGUUUCUGUGAGUCCAGUGAGAAGGAAGGAAUAGAGCUGGAUUUGAGCCAUCUACUCGGAAUACCACUUAGGAUCACUUCCUGCCAGGAAAGGAGACUCCAAUAGCUGGAGACUGUGGGUAUCCCACAGAUGGUGGGAGUAUAACAAUCCUCGACUGGCUGGGCGUGGUGGCUUAUGCCUGUAAUCCCAGUGCUUUGGAAGGCCGAGGUGGGAGAGUCAACUGAGCCCAGGAGUUCGAGGCUGCAGUGAGCUGUGAUCACGCCACUGCACUCCAGCCUGGAGAGCAGAAUGAGACCCUGUCUCUAGAAAAACAAAAAAGGAAGGAAAAAAAGAAAAAUUCUCUACCCAAAUAUUUUUUCAUGACGUUGACUAUUUGAAGAGGCUGAGCCAGUUUUCCUAUAUAAUAUGUCCCAUAUCCUGACUGUUUCCCAUGGUGUUGUUCAACCUGUUUGUCUAUCCCCUUUAUUUUGUGUAUUUAGGUCUAGACUUGAUUAAAUUCAGGUUUAA
rnacentral:lncRNA from 10 species